AUAAAGCUUGCUCCCCAUAUGUGUGUUGCUUAGGAUAAAGAAGAAGGAGAUAAAAGGUGAGGCACUUGGGCUUGAUGUUAGCAGUUAGAUAAUAAGCUUGCUCAACUGCUCUAGUUGAGUUUAAUGGGUAGGAGGUACCUCCUUUUAUAGUCGUUAGAAGCUCAUCCUUCUCAAGAAACCCUAAUGGGUUCUCUCUAAUUUUGCCAAGUCUCUCCUUUCAUUUCUCUUCUCUCCCUUCG
rnacentral:lncRNA from 1 species